ensembl:lncRNA
GGCUGUGUCCCAAUUCCUAGGACGCAUCCUUCGAAGGCUGCAUUCGAAGGAUGCGUCGACGCCGAUUGCGUCACAGCGUCGCGCCAAGUGCUGUCCCAAUUCCAAGGGUCCUUCAAAUGCGGCCUACGAAUGCAGCCUUCUUUUCCCGGAUUUGAAGGAUGCAUCGGCUGUAUCCUUCACGGCCCAACGCAUCCCAAGAUCCUUCACGGCCCAACGUAUCCCUCCCAAGAUUCAUUGCGCAUUCAAUCAAUGGAGAUGGCGGAGAAUGGCGAUUUAAGUUCUGCAUUUAAAUGGGGCCAGCAGCAUACUGCUCGAUUUAUUCUAUUGAGGGGGAGAAUGAUGAGCUGUUCACCGGGGUGAAAUACUCAGCAAGUGUGGCUUGGGGGACAAUUCUGGAGAAAAUAGGCCUGCAGGGGAAGGUGUCUCCCCCGCAGGCAAAGAAAAACUUUUGCUGAAAUUUGUUUUGAUACUGCUCUUGUUGUUAACUGCCAUGAUUGAUUUCCUCUGCCUUAGGAUUGCAAGUAUCCAGGGUCAGGAGAGGGGAACACACCAGGGCCAAGUACAGCAAGUACAGCAGUGGUGGAUCAGGAGGUUGAGGACAAGAUCAGGAGGAGGAAAGACAGCGAGGGC